rnacentral:rRNA from 1 species
UACACUCCUACGGGAGGCAGCAGUGGGGAAUAUUGGACAAUGGGCGCAAGCCUGAUCCAGCCAUGCCGCGUGAGUGAUGAAGGCCCUAGGGUUGUAAAGCUCUUUCACCGGUGAAGAUAAUGACGGUAACCGGAGAAGAAGCCCCGACUAACUUCGUGCCAGCAGCCGCGGUAAUACGAAGGGGGCUAGCGUUGUUCGGAUUUACUGGGCGUAAAGCGCACGUAGGCGGACUAUUAAGUCAGGGGUGAAAUCCCGGGGCUCAACCCCGGAACUGCCUUUGAUACUGGUAGUCUUGAGUUCGAGAGAGGUGAGUGGAAUUCCGAGUGUAGAGGUGAAAUUCGUAGAUAUUCGGAGGAACACCAGUGGCGAAGGCGGCUCACUGGCUCGAUACUGACGCUGAGGUGCGAAAGCGUGGGGAGCAAACAGGAUUAGAUACCCGGGUAGUCCC